UUAUAUAUAUCUAGUGGUUAGGAUUCCUGGCUUUCACAUAGGCAGCCUGGGUUCAAUUCCCAGCAUGGGAA
rnacentral:tRNA from 1 species